CAGAAAGAUCCUUCCAUGUGGACAGACUUCCACAGAGAACAAACCACUUGACAUUGAUCAAGAAGCGUACUGGCUGGCAAGACACAAGCAGGGCCAUACAGCCGACCUCUGCCGAUAACGGUGACGGUUGUGGCUAUAAAAAAGUGGAUGGAAUGGGACGAAGAGGCGGUGGCUGCAAAGUCGUUUAAGGCUAACCUGGCCUGUGCAGUGUCUGAUGGGUCGACUGGGUGGCGCCAGAUUGACAGAAGCAGGCAGAGGAGCUGUUAAGCCCCCAUUCUACAAUGCACCACUUAAGAGAUUGUGUAACUGGCCAUGGCACUGUCCAAGGCUUGGUCACCUCCGUAAGUACAGGGAGUUGCCAACACUCAAGCAGU